GGGGCGGGGCUGGUGGUGGGCGGAGCCUAGGGGGCCUGUUUUGCUCCAACAGAAGUGUCACUAGAUUAGGUCUUUUGUGCGGUCGGGAAUGAGGGAGAAUUGGGUUCAGAAUCGUGCGCUCACGUGGUGUGCCUGAGGCCGCAAUCGUGCGUCGUGGACCAGACGGGCAGCGCGCACUGCGUGGUGUGUCGCGCGGCACCCUGCCCCGCACCCUCCAGCCCUGGCCAGGAGCUCUGUGGCAACAACAACGUCACCUACAUGUCCUCAUGCCACCUCCGCCAGGCCACCUGCUUCCUGGGCCGCUCCAUCGGCGUGCGUCACCCGGGCAGCUGUACAGGCACCCCUGAGCUGUUAGAUGCUGAGUCGGAGGAGGAGGAAGAGAACUUUGUGUGAGCCUGUGGGGCCGGCCUGGGCCUGGUGUUCAAGGUCUCCCCAUUUUAUUUAUUGCCACAGCAGAGUCUAAUUUAUGUCUGACGGACACUCCCCAGAGCCUGGACUGGUACCAUUUUGGGAGCCCUGGUGCUCCCCCUACGAUAUCUUGGCAGGAUUUGGGGAAGGAGGCCUGGGGGCCUGGCUGGUGGGUGGAUGGCACUGCACCUGCACCCCAGGCACCAUACUGCCCAGGAGGACCCCACUGCUUCUGCUCCUUGGGGGUAACUGUUAAUUAUCAUGGCCCCUGAGAGGGCUGGGGAUUUUCUGCCAGCAAGUAAUGAAGAGACACCCUGCCUUCUCAAACAGGAGCCAGGAGGUGAGAGGGAUCCAAGGCCUGGGUUUGUCCAGAUGAACACCAUGUCCUGUGGUGCCCAACCCACCUAGGCUUGCUCACUGGCUCAGGGUGGGGUGCAGAUGCCAAGACCCGCUGCACAUCUGGCAUCCUGGAGCUCUGCAUCCAUGGGUCACCCCUUGGUGUGAGUGCCUGCUGCCCUGUCCACAGGUGGGGUCCACACCUGGGACCCUUCAGUCCCCCACAUCCUGCCCUGGCCAGGCCGCUAGGUCCGGUGCCCAGCUGGACCCUCCUCGCCUGCCAGCUGGAUUCCCUUCACCUGCCUGGGCUGUUGCUGUGUGUCACCUGUGCCUGUGUGUGGACUGGAGGCUCAGACCUGAGGUUGGGGCCCAGUGGAGCAGGAGCCUAGCUCCACGAGUUCAGAACAUAGGGCAGUGGUGCUCGUCCUUCUCAGCCUCCAGGAAGUGCCUUAUCUGUGACACCAAGAAAGUGCCCUUGAAUAGUGGGUUUACCCUGAGCCCCCACCCGCACCCCGACAAGGCAACCUACCCCCUGGGGUCCUGCCUAUCCCACCAAAGAAAUAAACACUGAAAAA
rnacentral:lncRNA from 1 species